AGCACUAUGGGACAGGAGGGGGAGCUCUGAGAGACCGGUGGGAGAGCACUAAUGUGCUGGAAGGGAUAUCACUAAGGGACAGGAGAUGAGGGGAGAACACUAAGGGACUGGAAGGGAGGGUAGAGCACUGAGGGACAUGAGGGGAGAACACUAAUUGACAGGAGAGAAGAGAACCAUAAAAAAAUAAAGAGCUGCUCUCCUCUCAGCCCCUAUCCUACCCGACAAAUCCUCUACACUACACACCUACACAAUGC